UACCUGAGGUUAUGGUGACCAUGGUGCCGAGACCCCAUAUAUCGAAGGGCCCCAGGGCACAAUAAUAUUUCCCAGAUUCUUCAGGUUUCACUCCAGUGAGUUUAAGAUAAACUUCUCCUUUAUUUGUGUCUCUUGUUAGAGUUAGACGUCCCUGAAGAGACUG